rnacentral:rRNA from 1 species
GUGAGGAAUAUUGGUCAAUGGGCGCAAGCCUGAACCAGCCAUCCCGCGUGCAGGAAGACGGCGCUAUGCGUUGUAAACUGCUUUUCCAGGGAGAGAAACUUGCGCACGUGUUGCGCAAUUGACGGUACCCUGGGAAUAAGCAUCGGCUAACUCCGUGCCAGCAGCCGCGGUAAUACGGAGGAUGCGAGCGUUAUCCGGAUUCAUUGGGUUUAAAGGGUGCGUAGGCGGACUAUUAAGUCAGUGGUGAAAUCCUGCAGCUUAACUGCAGAACUGACAUUGAUACUGAUAGCCUUGAGUUUGGUUAAGGUAGGCGGAAUGUGUAAUGUAGCGGUGAAAUGCUUAGAUAUUACACAGAACACCAAUUGCGUAGGCAGCUUACUGAGCCGACACUGACGCUGAGGCACGAAAGCGUGGGGAUCGAACAGGAUUAGAAACCCUAGUAGUCC